AGAGUUUGAUUCUGGCUCAGGAUGAACGCUGGCGGCGUGCCUAACACAUGCAAGUCGAACGAAGCGCCUGCGGCGGACCCCUCCGGGGAAAAGCCGCAGGGGACUGAGUGGCGGACGGGUGAGCAACGCGUGGGCAACCUGCCCCGUACCGGGGGACAACAGCCGGAAACGGCUGCUAAUACCGCAUAUUCCCGCGGGGCCGCAUGGCCCUGCGGGGAAAGCUCCGGCAGUACGGGAUGGGCCCGCGUCUGAUUAGCUUGUUGGCGGGGUAACGGCCCACCAAGGCUGCGAUCAGUAGCCGGCCUGAGAGGGCGGCCGGCCACAUUGGGACUGAGACACGGCCCAGACUCCUGCGGGAGGCAGCAGUGGGGGAUAUUGCACAAUGGGGGGAACCCUGAUGCAGCGACGCCGCGUGAACGAAGAAAUAUUUCGGUAUGUAAAGUUCUAU
rnacentral:rRNA from 1 species